rnacentral:rRNA from 1 species
UGGGGAAUAUUGCACAAUGGGGGAAACCCUGAUGCAGCGACGCCGCGUGAACGAAGAAGGUAUUCGUAUCGUAAAGUUCUGUCCUAUGGGAAGAUAAUGACAGUACCAUAGAAGAAAGCUCCGGCUAAAUACGUGCCAGCAGCCGCGGUAAUACGUAUGGAGCGAGCGUUGUCCGGAAUUAUUGGGCGUAAAGGGUACGCAGGCGGUUUAAUAAGUCGAAUGUUAAAGAUCGGGGCUCAACCCCGCAAAGCAUUGGAAACUGAUAAACUUGAGUAGUGGAGAGGAAAGUGGAAUUCCUAGUGUAGUGGUGAAAUACGUAGAUAUGAGGAGGAAUACCAGUAGCGAAGGCGACUUUCUGGACACAAACUGACGCUGAGGUACGAAAGCGUGGGGAGCAAACAGG